UCUAAUUUGGCAGAAAUAUGUGAUAAAUUUAGAAUUUAUUAAUGAAUAAAAUCAAUUAGAA
rnacentral:tRNA from 1 species